CUACCUGGAAGCUGGUCCCAGAGCCCUCCGGACUCUUGGUUCUUUGAGGAAGAAUUACUGGAGGUUAUUUUUCACUGUUCCCUUAGUAAGGUAUGUGGUGGUAACUGCAAUUCAACAUUACAUAACAUUGCUUACAUGACAUUAUUUAC
rnacentral:lncRNA from 1 species